AUUGAACGCUGGCGGCGUGCUUAACACAUGCAAGUCGAGCGGUAACAGGUGUAGCAAUACAUGCUGACGAGCGGCGAACGGGUGAGUAAUGCAUCGGAACGUGCCCUGAAGUGGGGGAUAACGUAGCGAAAGUUACGCUAAUACCGCAUAUUCUGUGAGCAGGAAAGCAGGGGAUCGCAAGACCUUGCGCUUUAGGAGCGGCCGAUGUCGGAUUAGCUAGUUGGUGGGGUAAAAGCUCACCAAGGCGACGAUCCGUAGCGGGUCUGAGAGGAUGAUCCGCCACACUGGGACUGAGACACGGCCCAGACUCCUACGGGAGGCAGCAGUGGGGAAUUUUGGACAAUGGGCGCAAGCCUGAUCCAGCCAUGCCGCGUGAGUGAAGAAGGCCUGGUUGUAAAGCUCUUUCGGUCGGGGGAAGGAAAGUUAGCACUCGUUAAUACC
rnacentral:rRNA from 1 species